CCGCGGUAAUACGGAGGAUGCAAGCGUUAUCCGGAUUUAUUGGGUUUAAAGGGUGCGCAGGCGGAUUAGUAAGUCAGUGGUGAAAGCUCCCGGCUCAACCGGGAAAAUGCCAUUGAUACUGUUAAUCUUGAGUACAGUUGAGGUUGGCGGAAUGUAUCAUGUAGCGGUGAAAUGCAUAGAUAUGAUACAGAACACCGAUAGCGAAGGCAGCUUACCAAACUGUAACUGACGCUCAUGCACGAAAGCGUGGGGAGCAAACAGGAUUAGAUACCCUGGUAGUCCACGCUGUAAACUAUGAUCACUCGCUGUUGGCGAUACACUGUCAGCGGCUUAGCGAAAGUGUUAAGUGAUCCACCUGGGGAGUACGAUCGCAAGGUUGAAACUCAAAGGAAUUGACGGGGGCCCGCACAAGCGGAGGAGCAUGUGGUUUAAUUCGAUGAUACGCGAGGAACCUUACCUGGGCUUAAAUGCAGAACGACCUCCCGAGAAAUCGGGACUUCCUUCGGGACGGAUUGCAAGGUGCUGCAUGGUUGUCGUCAGCUCGUGCCGUGAGGUGUCGGGUUAAGUCCCAUAACGAGCGCAACCCUUAUCCUUAGUUGCCAACAGGUAAUGCUGGGAACUCUAAGGAAACUGCCUACGCAAGUAGUGAGGAAGGUGGGGAUGACGUCAAAUCAGCACGGCCCUUAUGUCCAGGGCUACACACGUGCUACAAUGGUCGGUACAGAGGGCAGCUACCUGGCAACAGGAUGCUAAUCUCGAAAA
rnacentral:rRNA from 1 species